CCUACGGGGGGCUGCAGUGAGGAAUAUUGGUCAAUGGACGAGAGUCUGAACCAGCCAAGUAGCGUGAAGGAUGACUGCCCUAUGGUUUGUAAACUUCUUUUAUAUGGGAAUAAAAUGUUCCACGUGUGGGAUUUUGUAUGUACCAUAUGAAUAAGGAUCGGCUAACUCCGUGCCAGCAGCCGCGGUAAGACGGAGGAUCCGAGCGUUGUCCGGAUUUAUUGGGUUUAAAGGGAGCGUAGGUGGAUUGUUAAGUCAGUUGUGAAAGUUUGCGGCUCAACCGUAAAAUUGCAGUUGAAACUGUCAGACUUGAGUACAAGAGAGGAGGGCAGAAUUCGUGGUGUAGCGGUGAAAUGCUUAGAUAUCACGAAGAACACCGAUAGCGAAGGCAGCUAACUGGCCUGAAACUGACACUGAGGCUCGAAAGUAUGGGUAUCAAACAGGAUUAGAUACCCUUGUAGUC
rnacentral:rRNA from 1 species